UACGUAGGGGGGCGAGCGUUGUCCGGAUUUAUUGGGCGUAAAGAGCUCGUAGGCGGUUCGAUAAGUCGGACGUGAAAUCUCCACGCUCAACGUGGAGGGGCCGUUCGAUACUGUCGUGACUCGAGUCCGGUAGGGGAGUGUGGAAUUCCCGGUGUAGCGGUGAAUGCGCAGAGAUCGGGAGGAACACCGGUGGCGAAGGCGGUUCUCUGGGCAUUACCUGACGGCU
rnacentral:rRNA from 1 species